rnacentral:rRNA from 1 species
AAAACGGCGAGUGAAGCGGCAACAGCUCAAAUUAGAAAUCUGGCCGCAAGGUCCGAGUUGUAAUUUGCAGACGAUGCUUUGGGCGAGGUGCCUUCGGAGUUCCCUGGAACGGGACGCCAUAGAGGGUGAGAGCCCCGUACGGUAGGACCACCGAGCCUUUGUAAAGCUCCUUCGACGAGUCGAGUAGUUUGGGAAUGCUGCUCUUAAUGGGAGGUGUACGUCCUCUAAAGCUAAAUACCGGCCAGAGACCGAUAGCGCACAAGUAGAGUGAUCGAAAGAUGAAAAGCACUUUGAAAAGAGGGUUAAAAAGUACGUGAAAUAGUUGAAAGGGAAGGAUUCAUGACCAGACUUGGGCUUGGUUGAACAUCCCGCGUUCUGGCCGGUGCACUCUGCCUGUCCAGGCCAGCAUAAGUUUGCGCCGGGGGACUAAGGCGGUGGGAAGGUGGCUCUCUCCGGGGAGUGUAAUAGCCCGCCGUGUAAUGCCGUGGGGCGGACUGAGGAACGCGCUUCGGCUCGGAUGCUGGCGUAAUGGUCAUCAAUGACCCGUCUUGAAACACGGAACAAGGAGUCGUCUUCGUAUGCGAGUGUUCGGGUGUCAAACCCCUACGCGAAAUGAAAGUGAACGUAGGUGAGAGCUUCGGCGCAUCACGGACCGAUCCUGAUGUUCUCGGACGGAUUUGAGUAAGAGCAUACGGGGCCGGACCCGAAAGAAGGUGAACUAUGCCUGUAUAGGGUAAAGCCAGAGGAAACUCUGGUGGAGGCUAACAGCGGUUCUGAGGUGCAAAUCGAUCGUCAAAUAUGGGCAUGGGGGCGAUUCC